AUCCAUCUGACGAAUCCCAAAUAGGAUGAAACGCGCAUCCUAGAU
rnacentral:hammerhead_ribozyme from 1 species